rnacentral:lncRNA from 1 species
UUUAAAAGGAGGAGCCUUCAAAGACACAGAAGUGUUUAUAACCAGAGUGGCUCCAGCCUGACUUAUCCAUAGUAAGACUGCAAAAGUGCUCCAAAACAGAAGAAUGAAGUGACAGCUGAGGGCUCACGUGCACCUGCCCGGCAGCGUUACAUCCUGAUUUCAGAUUCCUUAGCUACAAAACUGUAUCUGGGAUACAUAGUUAAACAAAACCUGACACCUACCUGGGAACAAACCUCAUUGCUCAGGCAUGUUGCUCAUACCCUGCUUUGUCACAUGCUGCUCAGAGCUCAACCAGUCCCGGCUGUGGCCGAUGAUACCAGGGCUGGGCUACGCCACUAACCUGGUGAGAUACGGCAGGAGGAACCCCAGCAGGUGAAAAGGGCACUUUAGUCAGCAUGAUGUUGAGUGCUGGUUGAGCAACACGCCGGGAAGGAGAGGAGCCAGCAUCACUUCUGAUGACACACGAUACUCCCAACAACAGAACAUUAGAAAAACCCAUUCUGCCUGAC